rnacentral:rRNA from 1 species
UACGUAGGGUGCGAGCGUUAAUCGGAAUUACUGGGCGUAAAGCGUGCGCAGGCGGUUCUAUAAGACAGAUGUGAAAUCCCCGGGCUCAACCUGGGAACUGCAUUUGUGACUGUAGAGCUGGAGUACGGCAGAGGGGGAUGGAAUUCCGCGUGUAGCAGUGAAAUGCGUAGAUAUGUGGAGGAAUACCGAUGGCGAAGGCAGCCCCCUGGGAUAACACUGACGCUCAUGCACGAAAGCGUGGGGAGCAAACAGG